GCCUUCAAAUGCUCACAGAGUGCAACAAAUCAGCACGACAUCAGCCGUCAGCCAUGAAGACCCUUUUCCUUCUUUUUGCUGCUGUCUUGUUCUUCAGUCAAAUUAUUCCAGGAAAUGCUGAGGUUGCACAAGAUACCCUGGAAUGCAAGAGGAGUCACUAUGGGUUCUGUAAAUAUGGCUAUUGCCCUGGGCAAACUGUGCCUACUGGAGGGACGUGUCAGUGGGGAAGACUGAUUUGCUGUAAAUCACCCUGGAGCCGGAGAGGGUGAUCAAGUCGACUGUAGACAAAACAAGACUUCUGGAUUCUGGAGAAAUACAUGCCUACUUUGGAAAGUGGUGGUUUCAGCUUCAACAUCAAGCAUAAGGAGCUACUUGUUUGGGCUGUAAACAGAUAUAAUGUUCUUCAAAGAAAUUCACACUCCUCUCCACCCCAUCAUCUCCUUUUACACAUAACCAGUUUUUGACUUGAGAAAUUUCAAAAGGCAUAUCAGCUAGAGUUCUCUCACAGAAUUUUGGGAAUGAAAGUCAAUCCCAAAUUAGGAAAUAAUCAGAUAAAUUUUAGAAAUAGACUGUAAUGUCAAAAAAUAUGGAUUAUGGAUAGUUUAAACAAAGGAGGCAAAAAGGAAGGGAAAUGAGAGAUUUAGAAAGUUUGUUUGCUUUUCUGGAAUUCUGUGGAAGAAAGUUACAUUUUUACUUACAAAAGAAAAAUUACAAAGCUAGCAUAAUCUAUUGCCUUGUGAUAUGCAUCAGAAUAUGCCUCGUUUAAAGAUCUGCACAACCAUGCACCUUCUGCUUCAUUUGCAUAUACUGGCUUCUUGUUCCUUCCAGCUUUUCCCCCCUGCCAUUUUCCUUUUUUUAUAUAUUAUGUAAUUUUUAUUAAAGAUGUUUAUAAAGGAAGAUAAAAAUUAAUACAAACUAAUAUCAAGUAAGACAAAGAAAAGAGUCCCUCUGAUGGGAGGAGAUGGGUGGUGACAAAUUUGAUAAAUAAAUAAAAGAAAGAAAAAGAAAGAAAUCAAAGAGAAAGCUGAAAGUUCAAGAAAGGGAAAAAAGGAAAAGAAAAAUAGAAAAGAAAAAAAAUGCAAAGAAGUGGCUUCUGAUCUUCUUUACAGCAGUUAUAAGUACAAUUAAAAAUUUGCCUCUUACUCUAUGGUUACAACAUGGCUCUCUUCUUUCUAUAAUCUAUCAUGUCUAAUCAUCAAAACCAUAAAUCAUAAGUUCAUUUUUUUCUGUUUCAUGCAAAAAGUCCAUAUGUGGUUUCCAGGCAGCAAUAAAUGUAGGUAUUUCUCUGAUCAAAGAAGUCAAUUUAGCCCUCUCACCCCUGUCAUUUUUCAAAUACAUUGUGAGUUGUGAAGUCUGCAAUUUCAGGCAUGCACAUCUUCAAAUGCAGUUUAGGAAAAUCACCCAUGAGAGUUUGAACAUAAAAAAAAAAUAUGUAUGUAUUUGCACGGAGUGAUAUCUCCUUUUUUACUAUCAAUAUUUCUGAAUCCUGUAAAACCUUACUAACAAACUAAAAUAAAGUACAUAUCUUAAACAAA